rnacentral:rRNA from 1 species
UGGGGAAUCUUGCACAAUGGGGGAAACCCUGAUGCAGCGACGCCGCGUGAGCGAUGAAGUCCUUCGGGGCGUAAAGCUCUUUCGACGGGAACGAUAAUGACGGUACCCGGAGAAGAAGCUGCGGCUAACUACGUGCCAGCAGCCGCGGUAAUACGUAGGCAGCAAGCGUUGUUCGGAGUUACUGGGCGUAACGAGUAUGUAGGCGGUCUUCUAAGUUUGGUGUGAAAUCUCCCGGCUCAACUGGGCGGGUGCGCCGAAAACUGGGGGGCUUGAGCGUGGUUC